rfam:Gymnopus luxurians FD-317 M1 unplaced genomic scaffold GYMLTscaffold_45, whole genome shotgun sequence.
GGUCGAGUAGCUCAGUUGGUUAGAGCACUGUCCCCAGAAAGUGGCAGGGACCUGGGUUCAAUUCCCAGCUUGGUCA